UUAAAGCCCUUCCUACUG
rnacentral:tRNA from 1 species